UAGGUGGAUGCUCGCUGGUUAGAGCGCUUAGCUGUUAACUAAGAGUUUGUAGGAUCAAAGCCUUCCCACCUAG
rnacentral:tRNA from 1 species